GACGAACGCUGGCGGCGUGCUUAACACAUGCAAGUCGAGCGGUAAGGCCCUUUCGGGGGUACACGAGCGGCGAACGGGUGAGUAACACGUGGGUGACCUGCCCUCAGCUCUGGGAUAAGCCCGGGAAACUGGGUCUAAUACUGGAUAUGACUCCAUGACGCAUGUUGUGGGGUGGAAAGCCUUGUGCGGCUGAGGAUGGGCCCGCGGCCUAUCAGCUUGUUGGUGGGGNGAUGGCCUACCAAGGCGACGACGGGUAGCCGGCCUGAGAGGGCGACCGGCCACACUGGGACUGAGACACGGCCAAACUCCUACGGGAGGGCAGCAGUGGGGAAUCUUGCGCAAUGGGCGAAAGCCUGACGCAGCGACGCCGCGUGAGGGAUGACGGCCUCGGUGUAACUACUU
rnacentral:rRNA from 1 species